GUUGCAGCAGUCGAGAAUCAUUCGCAAUGGGCGAAAGCCUGACGAUGCGACGCCGUGUGAACGAAGAAGGCCCUCGGGUCGUAAAGUUCUUUCGCCUGGGAACAAGAGAGGAGGAUGAAUAAUCCUUUAAUUUGAGGGGUACCAGGUAAAGAAGCACCGGCUAACUCCGUGCCAGCAGCUGCGGUAAUACGGAGGGUGCAAGCAUUAAUCGGAUUUAUUGGGCGUAAAGGGCGUGUAGGCGGCCGUUCAAGUCUGUUGUGAAAUUCCGGGGCUCAACCCCGGAGCUGCAAUGGAAACUGGAU
rnacentral:rRNA from 1 species